rfam:Picea glauca, whole genome shotgun sequence.
ACAUGCCUACAACAUAGUGUUAAUGCACUAGAUCCCAUUCAAACUCCACAGUUAAGCAUGUUGGGGCUAGAGUAGUACUGGGAUGGGUGACCACCCGAGAAGUCCUACUGUUUUACAUGUC